AUGAACUGCAGGCUCGUGUCUGCAGCAACCUAUAAAUUGGGGUGUUUUCUACUGCUUGUUCCAUUGAUCCAUCAAUCCAUCCAUCGUCCCCUUAGGAAAUCAAGAGGUUGGAAUCUUGCUGCUUGGUCGCGGCAGUCCCUGGAGUGGUGUUCCUGGUCACUUGGGUGGGUGUUGGGGGAGGGGGGGGGGGUAAACUUAGCCUCGUGGAAUGUUGGUAAGAGGGCCCGGCCUGAGGCCCGAGGCCUGCCGGGCUUUUACGUGUUCGGGCCAAGCUCGGGCCUAAAAACCAGGCUCGAUGGCCGGGCCGGGCCUGGGCCUGGGUUUUUUGCCUCGGGCUUGGCUAGGCCCGGCCCGGCCCGAUGUUUGGCCAGGCAUAAUUGUCCAUAUGUUCACUUCUUGGAUCAUGGGGGACAGUCCCUUACCUUUGCCCCUAAACAAUGGUGUCACAAGAAGCAGCGGCCAAAGAAGCCAAACAUAGAAGAAGUGGCAUGGAAAUGGAAGGUUUACAAGGAUGGAGGAAAAGAUGAGAAAAAGAAAGAAGAGAAAAUAAAUUGGGAAAACAAGAACUGCGCUUCAGGCGUGAAAUGCUACUUUGUUCGCACAGAGUCUGGAUGGAAUAUGGAUGAACCUUACAUACUCUCUGGCAAGACAAUCAAUCAGGCUCGCAAACUAUUCAUGCACAUACAUACCGCUCCCACCUUGGCAAAAUACAUGGCCAGGUUUGCUUUGAUACUAUCGAAAACUAUCACAAUGGAGGUUAAUUUAUCAGCGGUUCAUGUUAUACAGCUUGAUGAUAAACCUUGCAGCGAUGAAAAUGGGGGAAUUGUUCAACGAGAUGGGGAACUCCUGAUCCAUACUGAUGGAACUGGCCUAAUAUCUGAAGAUUUGGCUGAGAAAUGCCCAACAAUUAUGUACAAGGGAAAACUUUUGAAGUCACAAAAUAUUUUUGGCUCCUCUGAUGUUUAUUGUUUUGUGAAUGAUGAAGCAAACUUGAAUUAUGGUUUACUAGAUCACUGUGUGGUGUAUGCAUACCAAAAAACUUGGAUAAACAAGAUUCCUUACUGUUGCUAA
rnacentral:rRNA from 1 species